GAUGAACGCUGGCGGCGUGCUUAACACAUGCAAGUCGAGCGGUAAGGCCCUUUCGGGGGUACGACGAGCGGCGAACGGGUGAGUAACACGUGGGUGACCUGCCCUCAGCUCUGGGGAGUAAGACCUGGGGAAACCGGGGUACUAAUACUGGAUAUGACUCCAUGACGCAUGUUGUGGGGUGGAAAGCCUUGUGCGGCUGAGGAUGGG
rnacentral:rRNA from 1 species